UUAGAACUCGGUUGGUCGAUGGUGGUGACGGACCACAGUGAUAUCGUAGAGAAAUCACACGAGAUCACACGAUAUUUUUAGAGUUCCGCUUCAUUCUGUAUACAAGGAGUUUGCUGUUAAUUUCUGCACUCAUAUUUUUUGUAACUUUAAAAAAAAAAAGUCAUAUUACUGCAGGAAACUACUCAAAAGAAAUCUUUGCAGAAAGGCAAUUAUCUAGAAUUGGUUACUACCUUGAAACCUAACUGAUUAAGUCGCUUUCCAUCAUUCCUCUAACAAUGGCACUGUUCUUGUGCUAUAUGAGUAAAACCAUUAUCAAAAAAAUUUUAAUCAAACCCUAGACUAGCAUUUCGACAGACCUGGCACCAAAUUAUUUCCUCAUGAAACCUGGCGAACUUAUCCACAUCCCGCAGUACAAACACUGAUGUAGCCAAAACAAAGAAUCCCACUACAGCAGUAACCAGGCAAAACCAGAAGCACAAAGCCACAGUCUUGAGGACUUCAACCUGGAACCAUACAGUUUAAUGCUUUAGAUUGAAAUGACAAAAAUAACCAUUAAGAUGUAAGAGCCAGUAUGAAAAGUUAAACACUGGCUUAAUAUCUAUUCAAGACCAACAGCAGAAUCCUUUAAAAACUUUCCAGCCUAAU